CUCUGCCCAUCCAUCAGCAUGUUGCUUUUCAGCACAUUUUUCCAAGUUGCUGGUGUAUAUACUGCUUGCAAGAGGACUGGAGGAAGCAGAAAAAAUCACUGUGCUGUGAUUCAUUAGCAGAAAAAAUCACUGUGCUGUGAUUCAUUAGCAGAAAGGUUCUGGAUCUGUCUAAGCACUGCUAUAGUUGCAAGGUCAAAGAUGCUGAGGGUGCUAUGGACCAGCUCCCUUAAUCCAGCUGCUAUUGUAGGUGGCAAUUCAGGCUGGUUUUGGAGCCCUUCUGAAAGAGCCCUCCAGACGUCUAUCAGAGCUGACUACGUACCAUGUGACUGCUUUCUCAAGUGCACAGGACCAGCUGUCUCCUGGGGACUGCACAGGUGCUGAUGACAAGUGCAUCCUCCUGGAGGACAACAUCCCAUCAGCAUGUUAUCUAGCACUCUUUCACUGGGGCCUCCUGCAGCUCCUGCCCUGCAGUAGUGCAGCACUGCAGCACUGCCUUGAAACCCUUUCUUCUGCAAGGUCAUCCCUUCACUCUCCUAUGGCCAAAUAGAGUCCUGAGAAAAUUUCUCAUGGCACAAUAUGUUGAUGAGGGAAUGAAAACUUGUCAGAACUUCUGUCCUCUGACACGAGGAAGAGGAAGGCCAUCUGAUGCUUCCUUCAGAACAAAAGUGGAUGUCCAGAAGAGCUGAACUUUGUACAGAUUUCUUCAUAGGAAAAAAAGCUGUCUUUUAUCCAGGCCCUGCUACUCAGCUUUCCAGUGCAGCAUGAGAUCUGCAGAGAAACUACCCGCCAUGAAGAACAAUUCAUGCACUGUUGAUUUUUCAGAAGAUGUCAGUAAACUACAUACUUUCCAGAGACACCCAAAGUAAAGAGUGUGCUGCUACCCCACCAGGGAAGUGGAAACAGAUUUUCACCUCAUGAUGUUACUCCAGGAGCCUGAAGACAGUCUGAACCGCUGGGAUUAAGGCAUAGGAACUGUGAGUGGUUGGGGAUGACAAAGUUUGUGUAGAAAUUUGAAACCAGAGAAACUACUGCUUGUAGUUAAACAAAAGAAAUUCCAUAACAAAGAGAGAUGAUGGGAAAAAAAAAAAAAAAAAAAAAAAACCUGCCUGGAAAAUAUUCAGCAGUUCACAAUUUCUUAAAGGACUGAAAUCUAGUGUUGCCUUGACUAAAUCCUGCUGACAAAGGCAGUUUCUGCAGCAGCAUUCAGGAUCCUCCAGUGUUCUGUGAUUUAUUUUGCCUGGUUUUGUCCCCUCUCUUCAGUCUUCAGUUGCUUUGUACAGCUACAG
ensembl:lncRNA